rnacentral:rRNA from 1 species
UACGUAGGGGGCAAGCGUUGUCCGGAAUCAUUGGGCGUAAAGCGCGUGUAGGCGGCCCGAUAAGUCCGCUGUGAAAGUCCAGGGCUCAACCCUGGGAUGCCGGUGGAUACUGUCGGGCUCGAGUCCGGAAGAGGAGUGUGGAAUUCCUGGUGUAGCGGUGAAAUGCGCAGAUAUCAGGAGGAACACCAAUGGCGAAGGCAGCACUCUGGGACGUGGCUGACGCUGAGACGCGAAAGCGUGGGGAGCAAACAGG